AUGAAAAGACUUUUCUCUCUUCUUUGAAGUUAAUGAACAGCAGGAAAAAUGGGAAUAAUGGAGCAGAACCAUGCCAGAGCCCAGAAAACAAAACUUGGAGAUCCCUUUUAGCUAACAAUUUUUCUUGAAGCAGCGGUAGCCUGGGAGACUUGAGACAUCAUCAUCAUCAUCAUCAUCAUCAUCAUCAUUAUUAUUUUUCCAACCCAAUCUAGUUUUGUCAUUUAUAAAGUCUAUGUAUCUAUUCUAUGUGGAAGAAAAUGAAAGAUUUGAAGAGGCUAAAUGGUUU